CCUACGGGAGGCAGCAGUGGGGAAUAUUGGGCAAUGGGCGCAAGCCUGACGCAGCAACGCCGCGUGAAGGAAGAAGGCUUUCGGGUUGUAAACUUCUUUUCUGAGGGACGAAGAAAGUGACGGUACCUCAGGAAUAAGCCACGGCUAACUACGUGCCAGCAGCCGCGGUAAUACGUAGGUGGCAAGCGUUAGCCGGAUUUAUUGGGUGUAAAGGGCGUGUAGGCGGGAAAGCAAGUCAGAUGUGAAAACUCAGGGCUCAACCCUGGGCCUGCAUUUGAAACUGUGUGUCUUGAGUGCUGGAGAGGCAGUCGGAAUUCCGUGUGUAGCGGUGAAAUGCGUAGAUAUACGGAGGAACACCAGUGGCGAAGGCGGAUUGCUGGACAGUAACUGACGCUGAGGCGCGAAAGCGUGGGGAGCAAACAGGAUUAGAUACCCUUGUAGUC
rnacentral:rRNA from 1 species